CAAUUACUUAUCUGAGGUUCUUGAAUAGACUUAUAGACUAUGUACUUUUAAUGGUUGCAUUGAACAUAGUAAAGUGCCAAAGGUGGCUCAAAGACUAACAGUAAUCGACGAACUUGACUUCAUCCACUAGAUUAAGGUUUGCUUUUUAAUGAUAUUUAAGUUGAUUUUUUUUAGACAUUACAUAAGUUGAUAUACUUUAUGAUAAUUAUUAUUCUUUGCUAUUAAUUCUUUUCGACCUCAUUUAGCAAGGUCGAGUCUAUAUUUGAAAACGAUGAACGUUUCAAGGUUGUUGAACGUAACAAAGAUCAUUGGGAUACGUUUGAAAGGUUCUUCGAGGAACCUGUAAUCAAGCACUAUACUGACGUAUGAAAUUUGGGACAAUCUUUUUGAAGUCACAGUUCAUAAUGAAGACCAUCAAGUGCUUGUUAUAUGAUGAUCCAAAUUUUGAGGGGCAUGGAAAUCCUUCUAGUGGUAUAUUUAUACUAUAUUUAUUUGUUUCAACUAUAACAACCAUGUUAGCCUAUUAAUAGCAUUCCAUGAGAAAGGAAGUAAAGAUUUGUGGUUCAGGAUAAUAGAAGUCAAAGAAUUUGUCAGUGAGCU